GUGACCUCAAAUCAGGUAGGACUACCCGCUGAACUUAAGCAUAUCAAUAAGCGGAGGAAAAGAAACUAACAAGGAUUCCCCUAGUAACUGCGAGUGAAGCGGGAAAAGCUCAAAUUUAAAAUCUGGCAGUCUUACUGUCCGAGUUGUAAUCUAGAGAAGCAUUAUCCGCGUUGGACCGUGUACAAGUCUCCUGGAAUGGAGCGUCAUAGAGGGUGAGAAUCCCGUCUUUGACACGGACUGCCAAGGCUUUUGUGAUGUGCUCUCAAAGAGUCGAGUUGUUUGGGAAUGCAGCUCAAAAUGGGUGGUAAAUUCCAUCUAAAGCUAAAUAUUGGCGAGAGACCGAUAGCGAACAAGUACCGUGAGGGAAAGAUGAAAAGAACUUUGGAAAGAGAGUUAAACAGUACGUGAAAUUGCUGAAAGGGAAACGCUUGAAGUCAGUCGCGUUGAUCAGAGAUCAACCUUGCUUUUGCUUGGUGUACUUUCUGGUUUGACGGGUCAGCAUCAAUUUUGAUCAUUGGAAAAAGGUCAAGGGAAUGUGGCAUCUUCGGAUGUGUUUAUAGCCCUUGGUUGUAUGCAAUGGUUGGGAUUGAGGAACUCAGCACGCCGCAAGGCCGGGUUUUUAACCACGUACGUGCUUAGGAUGCUGGCAUAAUGGCUUUAAUCGACCCGUC
rnacentral:rRNA from 1 species